CGUGGAAGCCAUUUAGUACCAAUUGGUAGCUUCAACCGGUACUAAAUGAUGUUCACGCACAUGUGUACUAGCCGGUAGCUUCAACCGGCACUAAAUGUCACAAUUUAGUACUGCCUAGAGCCACCAGCCGGUACUAAUGUACACCCUAUAAAAUAAGCUAGCUCCUUCUUCCUCCCCGAGCCCGAGCUCAACCAUUUGACCGAGAGCUCGGGCUUCUUCACUCCAUGAGCAACCUAGGGGAGAUGCUACCCAUUUUUUUCACAAUUUGUGGGGAUUUCACUCUUCCAACUAUUCUAAAGGUUAGCAACUUCAUCCUCCCUCCUCUCAUGAUUAGUAUUCUAUAUUUUAUGCUUUGUAGCUAGAGAAAUUUGUGCUUUUUAGAGUAAGGAUGAAUGGAGAUUUUUUUUCAUUUAUACAUGCAUGGGGAAUGUAGAUUUUUUACUUAUGAAAGUCUAUUUGAUGUUGAGAAAAUCGUAUUGGAAUUUGAAAAAUAUGUGUUGUCUUAAUUAAUUUUAGUACCAUGUUGAAACAAAAAUAAUCAACUAAUUUUGUUGCUACAUAAAUAACAUAGUUGAGCCCAGCUCGGAGAACAAUC
rnacentral:lncRNA from 1 species